CACGUAGGGCGCAAGCGUUGUCCGGAAUUAUUGGGCGUAAAGAGCUCGUAGGCGGUCUGUUGCGUCCGCUGUGAAAACCCGGGGCUUAACCCUGGGCUGGCAGUGGAUACGGACAGACUAGAGGUAGGUAGGGGAGAAUGGAAUUCCAGGUGUAGCGGUGAAAUGCGUAGAUAUCUGGAGGAACACCGGUGGCGAAGGCGGCAUCCUGGACCGGUAUUGACGCUGAGGCGCGAAAGCCAGGGGAGCAAACGGG
rnacentral:rRNA from 1 species